CCUACGGGUGGCAGCAGUGAGGAAUAUUGCACAAUGGGGGAAACCCUGAUGCAGCGACGCCGCGUGAGUGAGGAAGUAAUUCGUUAUGUAAAACUCUAUCAGCAGGGGAGAAAAUUACGGUACCUGAGUAAGAAGCCCCGGCUAACUACGUUCCAGCAGCCGCGGUAAUACGUAGGGGGCCAGCGUUAUCCGGAUUUACUGGGUGUAAAGGGGGCGUAGACGGGAGUGCAAGGCUGGAGUGAAAGGCGGGGGCUCAACCCCCGGACGGCUCUGGAAACUGUAAGGCUGGAGUGCAGGAGAGGUAAGUGGAAUUCCUAGUGUAGCGGUGAAAUGCGUAGAUAUUAGGAGGAACACCAGUGGCGAAGGCGGCUUACCGGACUGUAACUGACGUUGAGGCUCGAAAGCGUGGGGAGCAAACAGGAUUAGAUACCCCGGUAGUC
rnacentral:rRNA from 1 species